rnacentral:tRNA from 1 species
GCCUUUGUGGUGUAGUGGUCAGCACGCUGGGUGCGUAUUCCAGAGGUCCGUGGUUCGAGUCCCGGCGAAGACG